rnacentral:rRNA from 1 species
AGUGAACGCUGGCGGUAGGCCUAACACAUGCAAGUCGAACGGCAGCACAGUAAGAGCUUGCUCUUACGGGUGGCGAGUGGCGGACGGGUGAGGAAUACAUCGGAAUCUACUUUUUCGUGGGGGAUAACGUAGGGAAACUUACGCUAAUACCGCAUACGACCUACGGGUGAAAGCAGGGGAUCUUCGGACCUUGCGCGAUUGAAUGAGCCGAUGUCGGAUUAGCUAGUUGGCGGGGUAAAGGCCCACCAAGGCGACGAUCCGUAGCUGGUCUGAGAGGAUGAUCAGCGACACUGGAACUGAGACACGGUCCAGACUCCUACGGGAGGCAGCAGUGGGGAAUAUUGGACAAUGGGCGCAAGCCUGAUCCAGACAUACCGCGUGGGUGAAGAAGGCCUUCGGGUUGUAAAGCCCUUUUGUUGGGAAAGAAAAGCAGCAGGUUAAUACCCCGCUGCUCUGACGGUACCCAAAGAAUAAGCACCGGCUAACUUCGUG